rnacentral:lncRNA from 1 species
GGGGAAUGGAGGAUGAUGUCAGCCAGGCUGCCCGGCAGAGACAAAAGCCUCUAAUUGCUCUUUUCCUUCUUGUCAGAAGGCUGACUCCAUAGUUCCUGUAAUAAAGGCCUAUGGACAGGGAGGAGGCCGACUAAUGAGAGAGCCAUUGUUCCGUGAUGAGAAGAAGUGGGCGAUGAGCGAUGAGCGACAGCCCAGGGGUCCAGGAGCUGCAGUCCCGCGAGGGAAGAUGGAGAAAUUGGAUCACCUGGCUUAGGCCAGUGGGGAGGGGUCUUCUCCUAAAUGCUUCGCUGAGGUGCAGAUGCUCAGUCAAGGUCAACCAGAUCUGCUCAACAGUUUUUCUGGUUCUGAGGUCAAGGCUGUGGACUCCACUUCCCAAAGGGAGCUGUUUACUGGGCCUACAGAAAACUUCUGUUCCAAAGUCACACAUGUUCCUGUGAUACUGAACAACCAGCUUUGAAAUCUGUGUCCUUGACCAUGAAGAAGAGCUGGUGAAAGAUCAUGGAGAGACCAAUGCAAACCCAUCCUUUCUACUGAGGAGGAGAACCAUAAAACUCCAGGGAGGCCCUCAGUGUCACUGUUUGCUUCCCAGCAUUGGUGGUAGAGGAAAGGAGACAGAGGGUAAGUGCCAUUUCAGGGAAGUGUGUGUGUGACACAUGUGUACAGUUGUUUUCCCUGCUGCUUAGGGAAAAUGAGUCAGUGUUGGGACGGAGUCUAACAGCAGGCAAGGUCUACCAGGAGUAGCAAUCGGCUUUCCCUCCCAUGAGGACACUUCAUCCCUGUGUAUCCAUGGGCCUAACAAAGUCAUCACUGCCUCCCACUGUUUCAAUCUUUUAUUCAAUCACAUAAUUAUUUCUCAGGUCUGGGUGGCAUGGCCGCCACCCUGGUAUUAAUCCAGAAUAUAAUUACCCAUCCUAUUCCUCACCACCGUACCUCCUGUUUAGAGCUCUCGACUGGACCAAAUUUCACCCGUCUCCUUGCUGUGGGCAUAAAAAGGACUGUGGGCCUCUAAUCACUGCCUGGAGCUUUGGAGCAGCCAGCCAGAAACUGCAAUAUCUGCUCAUUUAUUCCUGUUCAUUCAAUUGGUUCCAAAUUGCUCUGAACGAAUUCUCAGGCUGCAGAAGAAGCUGUGCAGGCUUAUUUUCAUUAGCGUGGACACUGAGCAGGGAGAGAGGGAGAGAAAAGAGAAAAAGAGAAGAGAAGAUUCUGUUUACGGAGUUUUCUCUGUUCCUCACCCCAGUCUUACCGUCUUAGCCCCAAGCUCCUCUGCACGCAAAUUCCGCGGUCCAUGCAGGAAAUGGGGUACACCAGGGUGCCUGAAUCUUCCACCAAGACCCUGGAUCUUAUUGGUGCAGACCACUCACCCCCAUUAAAUUUGUGGCUUAAUGAGUCCGUGAUGGAAGGAGAUCUAAACCUGUGCUCCCCUCCAGCAAAGUUGUG